rnacentral:tRNA from 1 species
GCCGGCCUGACGGGAAUGGGCAUACCUCCUUGCCUUAGAAGCAAGGGCUUCCCGGUUCGACUCCGGGGGUCGGUACCA